rnacentral:rRNA from 1 species
AAUUUAAAAGAUUUAAUUUUAUAUAAAAUUUAUUGUUUUAAUAUUAUUUUAAAUAUAAAAUUAGAAGUGAAAUGUUAUUCGAUUUUAAAGUUAUCUGGUUUUUUUCAAAAUAAAUUUAAUUUAGUUUUAUUUUAUUUAUAAAUUAAUUUUAUUUAAUUUAUAUAUUAAUGGAAUAAAUAUAUUUGGGUAAGCUAGAUGUAUUGAUAAUAAUAAAUUUAAGUUUUUUUGUAGGUAUGUUCAUAAAAGUUGAAUUUAUGAGUAAAAGUGUUUUAACUUAUAUAAUUUUUAUAAAUAUUUAUAAAUUUAUUUUAUUUUUAGAGAAAAAAAUUAAAUUUAAUUUUUGAAUUUAUUUAUAAUGAUUAAAUUAGUAAAAAAUAAUGUAUUAGUAUUUAUUUAUGAUAUUUUAUUUAAAGGAAUUAGACAAAAAUUAUCUUCACCUGUUUAACAAAAACAUGGCUUAUAGAAGGAUAAUUAUAAGUUUUUCCUGCCCGGUGAUAUUUUAACGGCAGCGGUAUUUUGACCGUAUUAAGGUAGCAUAAUCGAUUGUUUCUUAAUUGGAAUCUGGAAUGAAUGGAGAGAUGAAAGAUUAAUUGUCUCUAUUUAAAUUAUUGAAAUUAAAUUAAGAGUAAAAAUGCUUUUAUUUAAUUAUAAGACGAGAAGACCCUAUAGAAUUUUAUAAUUUUUUUUUAAUUUUUAUAUUUGUAAAUUAAUUUAAUUAAAAGAUUAUAUUUAACUGGGAGGGUUAUUAAAUUAAUUAAACUUUAAUAUAAUUAGAACAAUGAUUAUUGAAUUUGUGA